rnacentral:lncRNA from 1 species
GAGGUUUUAGUUCUUUCGUUUCUGUUUCUUUUUAUUGAGGACUAAGAUUUAAUUAUAUUCAUAAAUAUUUGCAUGAAUCUCUUUCUUUUCUGGUAUGAUGCAGGCUUCUGUUGCGUCACAAAGGAUCAAACGAUGGGGAGGGGAAGUACAAGAUAAAUCAAAUAAUGUAGAGCAAUGAAAAAAUUGUUGUUGAAGAAAAAUACACCUAUUGUAUAAUCAGGAGGAAUUUGGACUUGCUAUACAACUUACCAAAUUGGGUAGAGGACUCAAUUUUAGUCGACUUUUCUCUAAGUUUAUGUCCAAGGGAAAAUCUAAAUUUAUGUUUAAGAGAAAAUCUUUGUAUUUUUUAUUUUUAAUUAUCUUGCUAUUAUUAUUUUCUCUUGCAAUUUUUCUUUUUCAUUUUGUCUUUUCUUACAAUCUUUAGAAUCUUCUAUCAAAAAACUUCGAUACUGACAAAUAGAAGGUUCAAUGAUUUGUUUCUUGAUCUGUAAAGAAGAAUCAUCUUUAUUUCUAUUUAUUAUGGGUAAUAUGCGACUUUCUAUAACAACUAAUUUACCAGUUUCUCGAUUUUCAAAAUAAGUAUUAAUAAAUUCUUUAAAAUUUUCUAUUAAACAAUUGAAGAAGUAUAUUCAUCUAACGGCAUUAAAUAUUAAAAUUUUAAAAACAAUAUGUUUGUAAUGACCUUGUAGCACUUUACAGUUCGGCAAAUUAAUUUUUUCGGAUUAUAAAUUGAUCUUUUUUUUUUUUUUUUUUUAAACUCUAUCUUAACUUUUCUUCUUAACCUCCUAACAGAAGACUCAAGACUAUAACAAAAAAGAUUUUCAUCAUGUUUAAAAAUGUUUAAACAAACUUCCUUAAUUGGUAUACAAAAUUGUUAGGAUUUUUACCAAUCUCCUAUGUCCCAGGAAACAAUGAUCUUCACAGAUUUGCAUGACAAACAGGAGAGAAAAUGCAGCAGAAAUGGUAGAAUAUAAAACUAGCAAAGAACUCAGAUAAAUGGACACUAGAAUAGCUUGUUUUAGGGACUAAAUUUCAUCAACCAAUGCAGGGAAUUUAACCCCCAGUCAAUCUGCCAUUACAAGAGGAAAUAUUACAGUGCUUAUCUUACACAAAACAACACCACUCAUCACCCAACCAGGAAUAACUAGAAAGCUUCCAUAAAGUUUACAAAGAUUGCCUGCAGAGAGCUCUCUCUCUCAAUCCUACUUUCGCUCUCUACAGAAAAUGUGCUCCCCAUAUUUUCUUGCCCACCCCCUUUCACGUAUCAGACCUAGUCCUAUUUAUAGCCACAGAUCAAGAGACUUACAAGAAUAUGUGUGUAAUAUUCAGCUAAAAUCACUACCAGAAAAUUAGUUAGAACCAAAGGCUCCUAACUGAUUUUCUAACUCACUAACUAAUCCAACUAAGGAGUUUAAUAACCGAAUCAAGAAUCAAUAUUUUCUCUACAAUCUCCACCUUUGAGUCUUGAUGAGUGUUGUUAAACCAAGAUUGACUAAAAAAUUUCAAUAACACCCUACAUGAUUGAUCAUCCGGUUUUAACCUUUAGCAAUCCAAUGCUCCAUGCAUCUUGCUAACUGGAUUAUUUUUGGUGAGCAAAACAGCAGAUAAACUUCAGUGGCUACCUUGACAACUUCAACUUCCCUCUUGGAAAUUACUUCUUGCACACAAAAGACUUCAAAUUUCUCCUGCUUGUGGCACUUUGGACAGUCAAGACUUCCUCUAACUUCAGCUUCAUCAUCUGCAUCCUCUUUUUGCAGAUUACCAGAUCCACCUUCUUGUUCAUUUUUCUGGUUAUUUUCUUGUGAUGUGUCCAACACAACCUGCUCCUCUUUGUUUUCAAACAUGGCAGCUUCAUUGACUUUAUUCACCUGCAAAACACAAAGUAGUCCCUUCACCACAACCAAGAAUCCUUUCAUAACAUCUAGUUCUUUACCAAAUAUUUUAUAUUUACAGCUUAGAAACGUGGUACUUUAUGUCCUUAGUCCUAUUUGCUGGAUACUUGAAGAACGCAGAAGUGGCAGUCGAUGUUUUAUCUAUAUGGUGAGUUGAUUUAUUAUUGUCCACACAAUAUACAACUUGCUUAAUUUGUUUUCUUUUUGUGUAAUUAUCUUUGUUUUUAUUUGCUUUUUUUAUUAGUCAUUUUUUUAGAACCGUCAAUUUAGGUGAUAGGAUAAAGUGAUAGCGCAUAACAUUAGAAAAAUUAUUUAUAUUUUAAAAAAUAGAUAUUGUAUUUAUAACUAAUUUAUAUAUGAUAGAAUAGUCACCUAGAGAAAAGAAAUAUAAUCGUGGAAAAAGAAAUUAUGAUAUAUUUAUAUAAUGAAAUGAUGAUAUAUCAUAUUUUAAUCAAAUUCUAUGGAAAUUGGAUUUUUAUUUUUUUGGAAAAUCAAGCUAUAUGGAAAUUUCAUGUUAAGUUAAUAUAAAGUAUUAUUCAUAGGUUUUUUUAUUAGAAUGUAAAAUGUUAACAAGUUUAAAAAAUAAUAGGCACUGGGUUUUAAUCAAGUGGCAUUGAAAAUUACAUAUUGACACAUCAAAAGAUAAUUAAAUUUAACAUAUUGAUUUAGUAUAAAAAUUUAUUUAUCCAGAAUCUAAUAAUUUAGUUAUUUAAUGAACUAGAAAUACUAAUUUCAAGUAAAAUUUCAUUUAAAUUAUCUUAUGACAUAUUCAACACAAUCAAAUAUCUAAGUCAUUUUUAAGUUAUCUUAAUAAUUUACUGCCUUGAAAUUUUUAUUAUAUUGUAAAUCUUUUAGAUAAAAUCUAACUUUACUUCUACGUUUUGUUUCUUGGAUAAUUUAAUUAAAGUUUCAUAACGAUUUUAAUAUUUUAGAAGUUUAAUUUUGUUGUGUGAUUGAAUUUUAAAAUUAUACCUUGUCACUUUUUUUUCUCGAAGAUCUUCUUUCUUUGUUUCGCUUUUAACACGAAAUUUUUGUGCAGAAAUAUUUCUCAUACCACUUUUCAAUGAAAUAACUCUAAAAUGAUUUUUUACGACGAACAUCUUUAGCAUUUAAAGUGAAACUUGUAGCAUAUACUACCAAUUUGGAAAGAUUUCAAUCUUAUUUCUGUAGAAUUUAAAAUGUAGUAUACAAAAGAUUAUUACACUACAAUGCGGAAUAAUAAACUAUCAAAGUGUAAAAUUGAACAAAAAACGACCCAAAGCUUCUUUAACACCACCAAUGAAGUGUUAUUGAUGUUGAGCUUAGAUUUGUGUCACACCGAAUCAUGCAUCGUCGUCCACGGGAAUAAUAAUGGAUAUAUCGAGAAAGAAUCCGUCGGAAGCCACCAAGAAUUUCGCUGGAGUUAUGGAAAGCUCCCACUUGGUUACCUCUUUAUUCUCUCUCUCUCUCAAAUAUUAUGCCAAGUCCAAGUAUGAGAGAAUCAAGAGGUCUUGUAAUUAUAGAGCCAAUUCAUUUGAAUUCAAAAUUCAAAUAUUGUAUUAUGGUCAAGAGAAUGACAACACUAGUAUAGGUAAUUGACCACAAGAUUAAAUCCAAUGAUUGGAUUUAAUUUAUGAUCCAUAUUACUCCAUAACUAAUACAAUUCAAGUCACAUUCUCUAGAUCAAUCAACUUGCACCAAUAAUAGGAUGUGAUCCACCUUACAAUUUCUUAUCACAUAAACUCGUCGUUACAGAUUGUCAAUGUUUUUUCUAAUCUUAUCAUUCCCCCUUUCCUUAAGUUCGAUAUAUGAUUGCUAAUGUAUUUUAAAUCAAAAUUUAGUCGGAACAAAGGUGGUUUUUUUAUGUUGUUUAUUAGAUUGUUGCUGUACAAGUCCAUUUUAUGAUUGCUGAAACAAAUUAAUUUCAAUUUUACAGCACGAACAUAGUGGGAUGGGCUGUCAUGGUAGCCAUGGGAUUUAAUGCAGCAAUAAGGUUAUUUUUGCCUCAAUCUAAUUGUAUCCUCUUUUACUUUGGAAAUUUACCUUUUCUACAGAUAUAAUCGAAGAACACUUUUUCUUGUAUACAGGAUCAUAAAUUUUUAUGUUGGUAGCAAAGUUUAACAUACAGAUGAAUAUUAAUGUAUCAUGCAGUGUAAGAGUGUCAAAUGAACUUGGCGCCGCUCAUCCAAGAACAGCUAAAUUUUCAGUGCUGGUGGUGGUUUUCUCUUCCUUCUCGUUCGGUCUCCUCCUCUCCCUCAUUCUCAUCAUUUUCCGGAAACAGUAUCCUUCCUUAUUUGCAGAUAGCGCCGAAGUUGAGAAACUUGUGUACGACCUCACACCAUUGCUGGCAUUUUGUGUUGUCAUCAACAAUAUUCAACCAGCUCUAUCAGGUACAUGCAAUUUAUACGUUUUUCCAUGAUAUCCUAUGAAUUAUGCGUUCGUCAUGAGACAUAAAUAUUAAUAGUGAGAAGUUUAUUUAUAUUACUCUUCUAUUUACGAAUUAGAAAGAUAAUGGCAUGUUUAUGGGCUACAAAUUAGAAAGAAGUAAGAUCUGAUAGUAUUCCAUCGAUAAACAUAUUGGUUGCAGGAGUUGCCAUCGGGGCUGGAUGGCAAGCUAUAGUUGCUUACGUGAAUAUUGCAUGCUAUUACUUGUUUGGCAUCCCUUUGGGGCUCGUAUUGGGAUUUAUCUUCGACAGGGGUGUUCAAGUAAGUUGUCAGUAAAAUAAAGUUCUAUAAUCCAAAACCAUUUACAGUUUCACAAUAACUUUUAUACUGAUGAUUUUUCAGGGCAUCUGGGUUGGAAUGACAAUGGGAACAAUUCUACAAACUAUAGUCCUCUUUUGGCUUGUUUACAGAACUAAUUGGAAGAAAGAGGUUUUAGUUCUUUCGUUUCUGUUUCUUUUUAUUGAGGACUAAGAUUUAAUUAUAUUCAUAAAUAUUUGCAUGAAUCUCUUUCUUUUCUGGUAUGAUGCAGGCUUCUGUUGCGUCACAAAGGAUCAAACGAUGGGGAGGGGAAGUACAAGAUAAAUCAAAUAAUGUAGAGCAAUGAAAAAAUUGUUGUUGAAGAAAAAUACACCUAUUGUAUAAUCAGGAGGAAUUUGGACUUGCUAUACAACUUACCAAAUUGGGUAGAGGACUCAAUUUUAGUCGACUUUUCUCUAAGUUUAUGUCCAAGGGAAAAUCUAAAUUUAUGUUUAAGAGAAAAUCUUUGUAUUUUUUAUUUUUAAUUAUCUUGCUAUUAUUAUUUUCUCUUGCAAUUUUUCUUUUUCAUUUUGUCUUUUCUUACAAUCUUUAGAAUCUUCUAUCAAAAAACUUCGAUACUGACAAAUAGAAGGUUCAAUGAUUUGUUUCUUGAUCUGUAAAGAAGAAUCAUCUUUAUUUCUAUUUAUUAUGGGUAAUAUGCGACUUUCUAUAACAACUAAUUUACCAGUUUCUCGAUUUUCAAAAUAAGUAUUAAUAAAUUCUUUAAAAUUUUCUAUUAAACAAUUGAAGAAGUAUAUUCAUCUAACGGCAUUAAAUAUUAAAAUUUUAAAAACAAUAUGUUUGUAAUGACCUUGUAGCACUUUACAGUUCGGCAAAUUAAUUUUUUCGGAUUAUAAAUUGAUCUUUUUUUUUUAUUUCUUACCAAAUUGGGUAGAGGACUCAAUUUUAGUCAACUAAGGAGUUUAAUAACCGAAUCAAGAAUCAAUAUUUUCUCUACAAUCUCCACCUUUGAGUCUUGAUGAGUGUUGUUAAACAGAUUUUCAUCAUGUUUAAAAAUGUUUAAACAAACUUCCUUAAUUGGUAUACAAAAUUGUUAGGAUUUUUACCAAUCUCCUAUGUCCCAGGAAACAAUGAUCUUCACAGAUUUGCAUGACAAACAGGAGAGAAAAUGCAGCAGAAAUGGUAGAAUAUAAAACUAGCAAAGAACUCAGAUAAAUGGACACUAGAAUAGCUUGUUUUAGGGACUAAAUUUCAUCAACCAAUGCAGGGAAUUUAACCCCCAGUCAAUCUGCCAUUACAAGAGGAAAUAUUACAGUGCUUAUCUUACACAAAACAACACCACUCAUCACCCAACCAGGAAUAACUAGAAAGCUUCCAUAAAGUUUACAAAGAUUGCCUGCAGAGAGCUCUCUCUCUCAAUCCUACUUUCGCUCUCUACAGAAAAUGUGCUCCCCAUAUUUUCUUGCCCACCCCCUUUCACGUAUCAGACCUAGUCCUAUUUAUAGCCACAGAUCAAGAGACUUACAAGAAUAUGUGUGUAAUAUUCAGCUAAAAUCACUACCAGAAAAUUAGUUAGAACCAAAGGCUCCUAACUGAUUUUCUAACUCACUAACUAAUCCAACUAAGGAGUUUAAUAACCGAAUCAAGAAUCAAUAUUUUCUCUACAAUCUCCACCUUUGAGUCUUGAUGAGUGUUGUUAAACCAAGAUUGACUAAAAAAUUUCAAUAACACCCUACAUGAUUGAUCAUCCGGUUUUAACCUUUAGCAAUCCAAUGCUCCAUGCAUCUUGCUAACUGGAUUAUUUUUGGUGAGCAAAACAGCAGAUAAACUUCAGUGGCUACCUUGACAACUUCAACUUCCCUCUUGGAAAUUACUUCUUGCACACAAAAGACUUCAAAUUUCUCCUGCUUGUGGCACUUUGGACAGUCAAGACUUCCUCUAACUUCAGCUUCAUCAUCUGCAUCCUCUUUUUGCAGAUUACCAGAUCCACCUUCUUGUUCAUUU